UAGGGAAUAUUAGAAAUGGACGCAAGUCUGAUCUAGCAACACCGCGUGUGCGAAGAAGGCCUUCGGGCCGUAAAGCACUUUUUGGAAGGAAUAGGAAGGAAUGUACUUCCAGAAUAAGUCUCGGCUAACUACGUGCCAGCAGCCGCGGUAACACGUAGGAGGCGAACGUUAUCCGGAUUUACUGGGCGUAAAGCGCGUGUAGGUGGUUUGGUAAGUAGGGCGUGAAAGCUCCUGGCUCAACUGGGAGAGGCCGUUCUAAACUGCCGAACUAGAGGAUGGUAGAGGGAGGUGGAAUUCCGGGUGUAGCGGUGGAAUGCGCAGAUAUCCGGAGGAACACCAGUGGCGAAAGCGGCCUCCUGGACCAUUCCUGACACUCAGACGCGAAAGCUAGGGUAGCAAACGG
rnacentral:rRNA from 1 species